UACGGGGGGGGCAAGCGUUGUUCGGAAUUACUGGGCGUAAAGGGCUCGUAGGUGGCCAACUAAGUCAGACGUGAAAUCCCUCGGCUUAACCGGGGAACUGCGUCUGAUACUGGAUGGCUUGAGUUCGGGAGAGGGAUGCGGAAUUCCAGGUGUAGCGGUGAAAUGCGCAGAUAUCAGGAGGAACACCAAUGGCGAAGGCAGCACUCUGGGACGUGACUGACGCUGAGACGCGAAAGCGUGGGGAGCAAACAGG
rnacentral:rRNA from 1 species